UAGGGAAUAUUGCGCAAUGGGCGAAAGCCUGACGCAGCGACGCCGCGUGGGGGAAGAAGGCCUUCGGGUCGUAAACCCCUUUCAGCAGGGACGAAAUUGACGGUACCUGCAGAAGAAGCGCCGGCCAACUACGUGCCAGCAGCCGCGGUAAUACGUAGGGCGCAAGCGUUGUCCGGAUUCAUUGGGCGUAAAGGGCUCGUAGGCGGUUUGGUAAGUCGGGUGUGAAAACUCAGGGCUCAACUCUGAGACGCCACUCGAUACUGCCAUGACUAGAGUCCGGUAGAGGAGUGUAGAAUUCCUGGUGUAGCGGUGAAAUGCGCAGAUAUCAGGAGGAAUACCGAUAGCGAAGGCAGCACUCUGGGCCGGUACUGACGCUGAGGAGCGAAAGCGUGGGGAGCAAACAGGAUUAGAUACCCCCGUAGUCC
rnacentral:rRNA from 1 species